rnacentral:rRNA from 1 species
AGUACGGCGGAACACGAGAAAUUCCGUCGGAAUCCGCGGGGACCAUCCCGCAAGGCUAAAUACUCCCUAGUGACCGAUAGUGAACCAGUACCGUGAGGGAAAGGUGAAAAGCACCCCGGAAGGGGAGUGAAAUAGAUCCUGAAACCGUGUGCCUACAACAAGUCAAAGCUCGUUAAUGAGUGAUGGCGUGCCUUUUGUAGAAUGAACCGGCGAGUUACGAUUGCAUGCGAGGUUAAGUCGAAGAGACGGAGCCGCAGCGAAAGCGAGUCUGAAUAGGGCGAAUGAGUAUGUAGUCGUAGACCCGAAACCAUGUGAUCUACCCAUGUCCAGGUUGAAGGUGCGGUAAAACGCACUGGAGGACCGAACCCACGUACGUUGAAAAGUGCGGGGAUGAGGUGUGGGUAGCGGAGAAAUUCCAAACGAACUUGGAGAUAGCUGGUUCUCUCCGAAAUAGCUUUAGGGCUAGCCUCGGAAUUGAGAAUGAUGGAGGUAGAGCACUGUUUGGACUAGGGGCCCAUCUCGGGUUACCGAAUUCAGAUAAACUCCGAAUGCCAUUCAUUUAUAUCCGGGAGUCAGACUGCGAGUGAUAAGAUCCGUAGUCGAAAGGGAAACAGCCCAGACCACCAGCUAAGGUCCCAAAAUAUAUGUUAAGUGGAAAAGGAUGUGGGGUUGCACAGACAACUAGGAUGUUGGCUUAGAAGCAGCCACCAUUUAAAGAGUGCGUAAUAGCUCACUAGUCGAGUGACCCUGCGCCGAAAAUGUACCGGGGCUAAACAUAUUACC